rnacentral:rRNA from 1 species
GACGAACGCUGGCGGCGUGCUUAACACAUGCAAGUCGAACGGAAAGGCCCUGCUUGCUUGGUACUCGAGUGGCGAACUGGUGUGUAACACGUGUGUGUUCUGCCCUCCACUUCUUGUUAUGCCUUGGAAACUGGUUCUAUUACCGGAUAGGAGCCAUUUUUAGUGUGUUUGUUGGAAAGUUUUUUCGUUGUUGGAUGAGGUGGCGGCCUAUUAGCUUGUUGUGGGGGUAAUGGGCUACCAAGGCGGCGGCGGGUAGCCGGCCUGGGUGGGUGGACGGCCAAAAUGGGGAUGAGAAGAGGCCCAAGAGGCGAAGGGAGGAAAGAGUGGGGAAAAAUGAAAAAAGGGAGCAAGCCUGAUGAAGCGAAGCCGCGGGGGGGAAGACGGCCUUCGGGUUGAAAAAAAGAUUCGCUAGGGAAGAAGCUUUUUGUGACGGUACCUAGAAAAGAAGCACCGGCUAACUACGUG